UGACAUCCGAUGCAUAGCUUAGAGAUAAGUGAAGUCCUUCGGGACAUCGAGACAGGUGGUGCAUGGUUGUCGUCAGCUCGUGUCGUGAGAUGUUGGGUUAAGUCCCGCAACGAGCGCAACCCUUAUUGCCAGUUACUACGAAAGAGGACUCUGGCGAGACUGCCGUUGACAAAACGGAGGAAGGUGGGGAUGACGUCAAAUCAUCAUGCCCUUUAUGACCUGGGCUACACACGUACUACAAUGGCGUUUAACAAAGAGAAGCAAGACCGCGAGGUGGAGCAAAACUCAAAAACAACGUCUCAGUUCAGAUUGCAGGCUGCAACUCGCCUGCAUGAAGUCGGAAUUGCUAGUAAUCGCGAUCAGCAUGCCGU
rnacentral:rRNA from 1 species